UACGGAGGGUGCAAGCGUUGUUCGGAAUCACUGGGCGUAAAGGGCGUGUAGGCGGUCUAUCAAGUCUGGUGUGAAAUCCCCUCGCUCAACGAGGGAACUGCGCCGGAAACUGACAGACUCGAGUACCGGAGAGGAAGGUGGAAUUCCCGGUGUAGCGGUGAAAUGCGUAGAUAUCUGGAGGAACACCGGUGGCGAAGGCGGCAUCCUGGACCGACACUGACGCUGAGGAGCGAAAGCCAGGGGAGCAAACGGG
rnacentral:rRNA from 1 species